GGCUCAGAUUGAACGCUGCGGCAGGCCUAACACAUGCAAGUCGAGCGGUAGAGAGAAGCUUGCUUCUCUUGAGGAGCGGCGGACGGGUGAGUAAUGCCUAGGAAUCUGCCUAGUGGUGGGGGAUAACGUUCGGAAACGGACGCUAAUACCGCAUACGUCCUACGGGAGAAAGCGGGGGAUCUUCGGACCUCGCGCCAUUAGAUGAGCCUAGGUCGGAUUAGCUAGUUGGUGAGGUAAUGGCUCACCAAGGCGACGAUCCGGUAACUGGUCUGAGAGGAUGAUCAGUCACACUGGAACUGAGACACGGUCCAGACUCCUACGGGAGGCAGCAGUGGGGAAUAUUGGACAAUGGGCGAAAGCCUGAUCCAGCCAUGCCGCGUGUGUGAAGAAGGUCUUCGGAUUGUAAAGCACUUUAAGUUGGGAGGAAGGGCAGUAACCUAAUACGUUAUUGUUUUGACGUUACCGACAGAAUAAGCACCGGCUAACCUCGUG
rnacentral:rRNA from 1 species